rnacentral:rRNA from 1 species
UGGGGAAUUUUGGACAAUGGGCGAAAGCCUGAUCCAGCAAUGCCGCGUGUGUGAAGAAGGCCUUCGGGUUGUAAAGCACUUUUGUCCGGAAAGAAAUGGCUCUGGUUAAUACCUGGGGUCGAUGACGGUACCGGAAGAAUAAGGACCGGCUAACUACGUGCCAGCAGCCGCGGUAAUACGUAGGGUCCAAGCGUUAAUCGGAAUUACUGGGCGUAAAGCGUGCGCAGGCGGUUGUGCAAGACCGAUGUGAAAUCCCCGAGCUUAACUUGGGAAUUGCAUUGGUGACUGCACGGCUAGAGUGUGUCAGAGGGGGGUUAGAAUUCCACGUGUAGCAGUGAAAUGCGUAGAGAUGUGGAGGAAUACCGAUGGCGAAGGCAGCCCCCUGGGAUAACACUGACGCUCAUGCACGAAAGCGUGGGGAGCAAACAGGAUUAGAUA